rnacentral:rRNA from 1 species
GACGAACGCUGGCGGCGUUCUUAACACAUGCAAGUCGAGCGGUAAGGCUCCUUCGGGAGUACACGAGCGGCGAACGGGUGAGUAACACGUGAGCAAUCUGCCCUUCUCACCGGAAUAGCUAUCGGAACCGCGGGCUACUGCCGAAUUCGACUUGCUUACGCAAGUCAGGGAGUGGAAACCUCCGGCGGGGAAGGAUGAGCUCGCGGCCUAUCAGCUUGUUGGUGAGGUAAUGGCUCACCCAGGCGACGACGGGUAGCCGGCCUGAGAGGGUGACCGGCCACACUGGGACUGAGACACGGCCCAGACUCCUACGGGAGGCAGCAGUGGGGAAUAUUGGACAAUGGGCGAAAGCCUGAUCCAGCAACGCCGCGUGAGGGAUGACGGCCUUCGGGUUGUAAACCUCUUUCAGCAGGGACGAAGCGAAAGUGACGGUACCUGCAGAAGAAGGACCGGCCAACUACGUGCCAGCCGCCGCCGUAA